rnacentral:rRNA from 1 species
UACGUAGGCAGCAAGCGUUGUUCGGAGUUACUGGGCGUAAAGGGUGUGUAGGCGGUUUUUUAAGUUUGCUGUGAAAUCUCCCGGCUUAACCGGGAGGGUGCGGUGAAUACUGAGGGACUAGAGUACGGGAGAGGAAAGUGGAAUUCCUGGUGUAGCGGUGAAAUGCGUAGAUAUCAGGAGGAACACCGGUGGUGUAGACGGCUUUCUGGACCGUAACUGACGCUGAGACACGAAAGCGUGGGUAGCAAACAGG